rnacentral:rRNA from 1 species
ACAGAGGGUGCGAGCGUUAAUCGGAAUUACUGGGCGUAAAGCGCACGUAGGUGGCUUUGCAAGUCGAUUGUGAAAUCCACGGGCUUAACCUGGGAACUGCAGUCGAGACUGCUUUGCUUGAGUAUGGGAGAGGGAGGUGGAAUUUCCGGUGUAGCGGUGAAAUGCGUAGAUAUCGGAAGGAACAUCAGUGGCGAAGGCGGGUCUCUGGGCAGUAACUGACGCUGAGGAGCGAAAGCGUGGGGAGCGAACAGGA